CAUUAUUUUCGGUUAGGAAAUAUUCCCUACUCCUCUCACAUUCCUUGAUUCACGCGGACAGAAUUUCCUCUCCUAACAGACCCUCUCUGAUUUUUUAUUCACAGCAUAUAUACCCCUCACAAACACACGUUAAAGAGGAGAUAGAGAUUCACACUAAAAGGACACAAAGAGGAUUGGCGAUUUUUUCCAUUUUUCUGCUCUCAUCUCAUACAGAUUUCUUCACCAAAAAACACUCUAGGAUUCUAUUUUAAUACAAAAGCAAAAAUGAAGACUUGGGAUCACCUGAAUCUCCCGCUGCUUUUCUGUAUUGCUAGGUUUCUUUUGAGUAAUUUCUGGAUUGCUGGUUGAAGAUUGGAGUUAUUUUUGUGCUGCUUUUCUACUGCUUUUGCUGUUACUGCUAAGUUGUGUUCCUGCUGCAACUCUCAACUUCAGAGACUUAUUUUCUGCUUUGUUUGGAUUAUUCAAGUUUGUUUCCAGCUUUAGGUACACAUCUGUAAAACUCGCAUUUCUUUUAAUAUAGUGACUGAAGCUUGUUCAUGCUAUUUCUUACUUAUGCUAUGCUUCUAAUUGAUUAUGAUGGACGAGACAUGUAAACUCAUGACUUAACUUGUGUAUGUUUAGUUUGUUUGUGAUAGAUGGGUUUAGAAUCAUACUGGUUACUGUUAAAUGCUCAUUUUCCUCUUUAGUGAUUUGCUUAUUUGGUAAACCGUGUGCAUUCCCGUACUUCACCUCUGUUUGUUAAGUGUGUUUCAUGAUAUUAAAUCCUCACUUGUGAACUUCUUGUUCAAAGUUAGUUCGUACUAGUUAUCUGGAUAAUCUUGCUUGUUUUGCCAAUCAGAUUUUGAAGUAUGUUUGUGCGUUACUCUAAAAUUUGUUUAUUGCUGAAGAUCAAUCAAUUGGCAAUUGUGGCCACCAGUUGGUCACAAUGGUAAAUUGAGGAACAUAGACCCGCAUCAAAUCCAUGUAGGGCGUCGUAAUGCUGCGUUUGCCAAGAAGAAUACAUGCUGAAAUGAGCUAGGAGAUCUGCUAGUUUUAAAAGUGUUAACUGAAAUCGAUUGCGUAUUUUGUAGAUUCAAUCGAAUUGGAUUGUAAAUUUUCUGUGUUUAUUCAAACUGUUUGAAGUAAUAGAUGUUUGGAUGAUUGUAUAAUUACCCCACAGAUUGAGUUUUACAAUGCGUUAAUAGCCUUAAAAUUAGAAUAUUAUUUCAUUGGGCUGGAGAAGAUAGAUGGCCCAUUCUGCAGCAAGUUAAUAAUAAUGGGAUUAGCCUUCGGCCAUGAAAGUUAAUCAGGGCCUGGUCACCACAAAUACUGCCAGGCCCACUCGUUAUUGGCAGGCCCACUCUGAGCUUCUUCAUCAGUUAAUAUAGUAGCUUACAUGCCUAAUGUGUUAUUUUCUGGUUUUGACAGCCAGCUUA
rnacentral:lncRNA from 1 species